rnacentral:rRNA from 1 species
CGUAGGUUUCGAUAAUUCUCACUCCCAGAGUGGUUUUGACCUGAAGUAGCAGGGACGGGUUUAAAAGGGCUGAGCCGGUAUAAAUAACGCGGGCACCACUCUGGGCCAUGCGGCCUGGAUUUUCCUCGGCCAGCGUGAGGAGGGCGGGUAACAUCGAAGGAACACAAAUCAACGCCAUAGGCUUGAAUUCAUCCAACCACUGGAUAAGUUUGGUGGUAUCUAAACCGGGCAGACAGAUCAGCGGUUUCUUCGUUAAAAGCGUUCCAUAAAUAGUGGAGAGACCGAUAGCGCACAAGUA